rnacentral:rRNA from 1 species
UACGUAGGGUGCGAGCGUUGUCCGGAAUUAUUGGGCGUAAAGAGCUUGUAGGCGGUCUGUCGCGUCUGCUGUGAAAAUCCGGGGCUCAACCCCGGACUUGCAGUGGGUACGGGCAGACUAGAGUGCGGUAGGGGUGACUGGAAUUCCUGGUGUAGCGGUGGAAUGCGCAGAUAUCAGGAAGAACACCCGUGGCGAAAGCGGCUCUCUGGA